AUGUUGGGUGUUGCGACCUUUGAGAUUGCGCUAAAAGUGAAGGAAGGCAGCACGGAGUCUAGGGAUAAAGUUUUAAGCAUCUUGGAUGUUCCUCAUGACAAUGUUAACUAUUUGGAGCUUUCCUGCGCAACAGAUAAGAAAUACAUCAGCAAGCUCAGCACACUGGAGUUUACAAUGAGUCAGAUUGCUCGCUCUGUGGAGGCGACAAUCAGCGUGCAAAUGGUUGAUGGGUCAUCAUGGCCAGACGGUCUCCGCGGUGAAUUUUCCGUGUGCACCACCAGUAUGUCCGACAGGAAAGUAAUUUUACUCGAUUUGGGAAGCGAUAUGGAAGUGCCGGUUGAUGCGAAUGGCGUGGCCCAGCUAUCGAGUUGGACGGUGCGGUUAACGCGUGUACCUACAUGGGAGCUUAGUCACAACUUUCCCAUGGUUUCCAUGCAGAGGCAUCAUCUAUUAUGGAGUCUGUGUGCAGUCAUGAUUCCUCCUCACGACGAGAGGUGUUGGCCAGCCUCCCCAUGGAUCUGCUCGAUACUGAGCAUGAGGUGGUCCACCUCUUGUCGGAUCUCGCCUAUGGAAGACAGGCUGCAUAGAUCCCAAUGGGGCCAGCGGAGGAGCGGCACCUUCCUUUCUCAAAAUGGUAGCAGCCGGAGCUUCGCCUUUGCGAAAGCGCGCAUGUUCAGCACAUGUUUUCUGGGGCGAAGGUGA
rnacentral:rRNA from 1 species